rnacentral:rRNA from 1 species
CUACGGGGGGCUCCAGUCGCGAAACCUUCGCAAUGCGCGCAAGCGUGACGAGGGAAUCCCACGUGCAAACUCUUUGAGUUUGCUUUUGCCGUCUGUUAAAAGGACGGCGAAUAAGUGAGUGGGUAAGACCGGUGCCAGCCGCCGCGGUAAUCCCGGCGCCACAAGUGGUAUUCACGAUUAUUGGGUCCAAAGCAUCCGUAGCCGGUUCGUUAAGUUCUUUGUGAAAUCCGGCAGCUUAACUGUCGGGCAUGCAAAGAAUACUAGCGAGCUAGAGAGCGGGAGAAGUAGGCGGUAUGCCCAAGGGAGCGGUAAAAUGUUUUAAUCUUGGGUGGACCACCGAUGGCGAAGGCAGCCUACUAGAACGCGUCUGACGGUGAGGGAUGAAAGCUAGGGGAGCAAAAGGGAUUAGAUACCCCCGUAGUC